rnacentral:rRNA from 1 species
GCAGCUUGCUGGACUGUAACUGACGCUGAGGCACGAAAGCGUGGGGAUCAAACAGGAUUAGAUACCCUGGUANNCCACGCCGUAAACGAUGAAUGCUAGCUGUUAGCGAUAUACUGUUAGCGGCACAGAGAAAUCGUUAAGCAUUCCACCUGGGGAGUACGCCGGCAACGGUGAAACUCAAAGGAAUUGACGGGGGCCCGCACAAGCGGAGGAACAUGUGGUUUAAUUCGAUGAUACGCGAGGAACCUUACCUGGGCUUAAAUUGCAGUGGAAUAACGUGGAAACAUGUUAGCCUUCGGGCCGCUGUGAAGGUGCUGCAUGGUUGUCGUCAGCUCGUGCCGUGAGGUGUCGGCUUAAGUGCCAUAACGAGCGCAACCCUCAUCGAUAGUUACUAACAGGUUAAGCUGAGGACUCUAUCGAGACUGCCGACGUAAGUCGUGAGGAAGGUGGGGAUGACGUCAAAUCAGCACGGCCCUUACGUCCAGGGCUACACACGUGUUACAAUGGGGGGUACAAAGGGCAGCUACCUGGCGACAGGAUGCUAAUCUCAAAAACCUCUCUCAGUUCGGAUUGGAGUCUGCAACCCGACUCCAUGAAGCUGGAUUCGCUAGUAAUCGCGCAUCAGCCACGGCGCGGUGAAUACGUUCCCGGGCCUUGUACACACCGCCCGUCAAGCCAUGGGAGCCGGGGGGACCUGAAGUAUGCAACCGUAAGGAGCGUCCUAGGGUAAAACUGGUGACUGGGGCU